GCAUUAAUGGGGUAGUGGUAACCUGGGUCGUUGCCAUCGUCGAGCUAGCUCGACCCGCCGGGGGUUCGAUUCCCCCUUAAUGCA